rnacentral:rRNA from 1 species
CCGGAGAUGGAUUCUGAGACACGAAUCCAGGCCCUACGGGGUGCAGCAGGCGCGAACACUUUACAAUGCGGGAAACCGCGAUAAGGGAACCCCGAGUGCCAGCAUCAAAUGUUGGCUGUCCGGAUGAUUAAAAAUCAUUUGUUAGCAAGGGCCGGGCAAGACCGGUGCCAGCCGCCGCGGUAACACCGGCGGCCCGAGUGGUAGCCGUUUUUAUUGGGUCUAAAGGGUCCGUAGCCGGCCUGAUCAGUCCUUUGGGAAAUCUGGCAGCUUAACUGUCAGGCUUCUAAGGGAUACUGUCAGGCUUGGGACCGGAAGAGGUAAGGGGUACUCCAGGGGUAGGAGUGAAAUCUUGUAAUNCCCUGGGGGACCAUCUGUGGCGAAGGCGCCUUACCAGAACGGGUCCGACGGUGAGGGACGAAAGCUAGGGGAGCAAACCGGAUUAGAUACCCGGGUAGUCCUAGCUGUAAACGAUGCUCGCUAGGUGUCAGGCACGGUGCGACCGUGUUUGGUGCCGNCAGGGAAGCCGUUAAGCGAGCCACCUGGGAAGUACGGUCGNCAAGGCUGAAACUUAAAGGAAUUGGCGGGGGAGCAC